rnacentral:rRNA from 1 species
GAUGAACGCUAGCGGCAGGCCUAAUACAUGCAAGUCGAGGGGCAGCAGGAAUAGCAAUAUUUGCUGGCGACCGGCGCACGGGUGCGUAACACGUAUACAAUCUGCCUUCUACAGGGGGAUAGCCUUUCGAAAGAGAGAUUAAUACCCCAUAACACAAGAAAUAGCAUUAUUUUUUGUUGAAAGAUCCGUCGGUAGAAGAUGAGUAUGCGUGUGAUUAGCUAGUUGGUGAGGUAACGGCUCACCAAGGCAACGAUCACUAGGGGAUCUGAGAGGACUACCCCCCACACUGCUACUGAGAAACGGACCAGACUCCUCCGGGAGGCAGCAGUAAGGAAUAUUGGACAAUGGAGGCAACUCUGAUCCAGCCAUGCCGCGUGCAGGAUUAAGGCCCUAUGGGUCGUAAACUGCUUUUGUACGAGAGAAAACCUAUUUACGUGUAGAUAGUUGAUAGUAUCGUAAGAAUAAGGAUCGGCCAACUUCGUGCCAGCCGCCGCUGUAAUAC